UCACUGUUAUUCCUCGUUAAUACGUUUACCUUCUAUUCACUAUGUAACAUAUAUAAACGUUAUACGCAUGAUUGACCCGUUGUAUAUCAGUGAAAUUCCAUUUCUCAUGGGUAUAAGCAACAGUAACGUGAAAUUCUUCGAGGAAAAGACACGAAGGAAAAUCGAAUCGAUCGAUGAAAGAAACCCUAAUGCAACCCUGACGCAACCCUGACGGUUGCUGUGUGCAAACAACAAGGUUGUUGUCUGCGAACAACAAGAUUGCUCUUUAUUGGCGCAUUAACGGAAUUUUUGUUGCGGUGCCAUGGCGUUAAUACAAACGUUCGAUGGAGGCUAACACGGUGCUUGCCCAGAGCGAAGAGAGAAACAUGGAUGAUAGGUCGGGAUAGUCCUCGUUGUUUCCGGUGUUGAAAAUCUUUUAUCAAUGGACAAAAAAAAAUGGAGGUCACGGUGUUAUGAUUCACCCUAUACACAAUGGGUCGAAAUGUGUCAAAAA